GACGAACGCUGGCGGCGCGCUUAACACAUGCAAGUCGAACGGUGAACCGGGCUUCGGCCCGGGGAUCAGUGGCGAACGGGUGCGUAACACGUGGGCAACCUGCCCCUCACUCUGGGAUAACCCCGGGAAACCGGAGCUAAUACCGGAUACUCCGACCGGUCCGCAUGGUCUGGUCGGGAAAGGUCCGCCGGUGAGGGAUGGGCCCGCGGCCUAUCAGCUUGUUGGUGGGGUAACGGCCUACCAAGGCGACGACGGGUAGCUGGUCUGAGAGGGCGACGAGCCAGACUGGGACUGAGGUACGGCCGAGACUCCUACGGGAGGCAGCAGUGGGGAAGCUUGCGCAAUGGGCGAAAGCCUGACGCAGCGACGCCGCGUGGGGGACGAAGGCCCUCGGGUUGUAAACCCCUUUCGGCAGGGACGAAGCGAUCGUGACGGUACCUGCAGAAGAAGCCUCGGCUAACUACGUGCCAGCCGCCGCAGUAAGAC
rnacentral:rRNA from 1 species